rnacentral:rRNA from 1 species
GGGUCAGUAGGUUGGUCGUGCCACCGGUACGUACUGGUCUCACUGAUUCCUCCUUCCUGAAGAACCGUAAUGCCAUUAAUUUGGUGUUGCGGGGAAACAGGACUGUUACUUUGAAAAAAUUAGAGUGUUUAAAGCAAGCUAACGCUUGAAUACAUUAGCAUGGAAUAAUGAAAUAGGACGAUCGAUCCUAUUUUGUUGGCUUCUCGGAUUGACGUA